AUACAGUGCUAACUCAUUCUUGUUGAAUGUUGUGUAUGGAUAGGACCAGGUCUGGGCCCACAGUUGCCUUUUCAGUGAUGUCCUCAGGUCUGUGGUCACAGGGUGGUGUUAAGAGCCCUUGCAGCUCACAAGAACUUCUUGUUACAGGAAGGAGGCUGCAGUGUGCCAGUAGCCGUGCAUACAGCUAUGAAGGAUGGGCAAGUAAGUGGGGGGAAAUGGGCGGGAAGCCAGGGAAAGGAGGACUGUGGCAUUUCUUCCUGUGCAUCCCAGGUUUCUAAGUAGUCCCCUCUCAGACUGUGCUGAGGCAACUGUUUUCUUCCCCAGCUGUACCUGACUGGAGGAGUCUGGAGUCUAGACGGCUCAGAUAGCAUACAAGAGACCAUGCAGGCUACCAUCCAUGUCCCUGCCCAGCAUGAAGAUGGCCCUGAGGAUGACCCACAGUUGGUAGGCAUCACUGCUCGUAACAUUCCACGAGGGCCCCAGUUGGCUGCCCAGAACUUGGGCAUCAGCCUGGCCAACUUGUUGCUGAGCAAAGGAGCCAAAAACAUCCUGGAUGUUGCACGGCAGCUUAACGAUGCCCAUUAACUGGUUUGUGGGGCACAGAUGCCUGGGUUGCUGCUGUCCAGUGCCUACAUCCCGGGCCUCAGUGCCCCAUUCUCACUGCUAUCUGGGGACUGAUUACCCCAGGAGACUGAACUGCAGGGUUCAAGCCUUCCAGGGAUUUGCCUCACCUUGGGGCCUUGAUGACUGCCUUGCCUCCUCAGUAUGUGGGGGCUUCAUCUCUUUAGAGAAGUCCAAGCAACAGCCUUUGAAUGUAACCAACCCUACUAAUAAACCAGUUCUGA
rnacentral:sRNA from 1 species